rnacentral:rRNA from 2 species
ACGGGUGAGUAACGCGUGGGAAUCUACCCAUCUCUACGGAAUAACGCAUGGAAACGUGUGCUAAUACCGUAUACGUCCUUCGGGAGAAAGAUUUAUCGGAGAUGGAUGAGCCCGCGUUGGAUUAGCUAGUUGGUGGGGUAAAGGCCUACCAAGGCGACGAUCCAUAGCUGGUCUGAGAGGAUGAUCAGCCACACUGGGACUGAGACACGGCCCAGACUCCUACGGGAGGCAGCAGUGGGGAAUAUUGGACAAUGGGCGCAAGCCUGAUCCAGCCAUGCCGCGUGAGUGAUGAAGGCCCUAGGGUUGUAAAGCUCUUUCACCGGUGAAGAUAAUGACGGUAACCGGAGAAGAAGCCCCGGCUAACUUCGUGCCAGCAGCCGCGGUAAUACGAAGGGGGCUAGCGUUGUUCGGAUUUACUGGGUGUAAAGCGCACGUAGGCGGACUAUUAAGUCAGGGGUGAAAUCCCGGGGCUCAACCCCGGAACUGCCUUUGAUACUGGUAGUCUUGAGUUCGAGAGAGGUGAGUGGAAUUCCGAGUGUAGAGGUGAAAUUCGUAGA